rnacentral:rRNA from 1 species
AUGCAUGCAUUCGGGGAGGCCACCGGCCUCAAGGUGAACUUCCAGAAGAGCACAAUUCUACCUAUCCAGGGUGCACUUUUUGAUGUGCAGAAUGUCACCGAACCAUUGGGGGCCCCCUGUGCGGCCUUCCCAUGCAAAUUCCUCGGACUACCGCUGUCACUCCGAAAAUGGCGCAAGGUCGACCUCCAACCCCUGCUCGACAAGCUGCUGGCACGACUGGCUUGCUGGAAGCUUAAACUUUUCGCGGCGGCGGGCAGGCUGGUGCUCCUCAACUCGGUCCUCACUGCCUUCACCACCUACUAGUUGUCUGUCCAAGACAUGCCAGCGUGGGUGCGCCGCCAAAUUGACAAGGCCAGAAGAGCUUGGCUGUGGCGUGGGCAAGAGGCAUGCCAUGGGGGUCACUACAAGGUUGCUUGGGGGAGGAUCUGUAGACCAAAGGAGCUGGGCGGCCUCGGGAUCCUGGACCUAGUGCGGUUCGGAUAUGCCUUGAGGCUACGUUGGCUAUGGCUCGAACGGACGGCACCGGAAAGGCCAUGGAUAGGUUUGCCUGUCCCAUGCACCCUACAAGAGAGAGUUCUGUUCGCGGCCGCAAUGGCAGCGCAAGUCAGAGACGGGAAGACGGCGUCCUUUUGGUACGACAGCUGGAUGCAAGGG